GUUUCCCCAUCUCCUGCAGUGGGCUCAGGUUGUGGCGAGGUCUGUGCAGAGCCAUUUGCUUCUGUUCCUUUUGUUACACCUUGCACGUGUGUGUUCCCAAUGAAAGUUAGACUUCUCUUAGACAAGUCGCUUUAUUCUAUAUUUCCUGUGGUUAGAGAUCUGGGUAUUGAGGUUGCAAAAGGAACCUAUCUACGUCCAAGUCAAGUUGUUGUAGUUGGAGCUAGUGCUGAUAAUCAAAAUCAAGAAAGAACAAUUGUUGAUAUUAACUUGGUUCCCCUGGAGGAUAAGUUUGAUAACACCACAGCUAUGCUGAUCUAUGAAAGAUUCUGGAAAAAGAAGAUGCCUCUCAAUAGAACGAUGUUUGGGGAUUAUGAUGUGAUGCAUAUUAUGUAUCCAGGGCUGCCUUCUUCUCCACCAUCUGGCAUUGGUUCUGGUAAUGGUCCAACUGGAAGUGCUAUCGAUCAACAAUUCCCUAUUACGGCUGACUUUGGAAACAAGAGCCAGAAAAUGAAUCCCAGAGUCAUUUUUCUCAUUGCUUCAUCAGCACU
rnacentral:misc_RNA from 1 species